rnacentral:rRNA from 1 species
CGAGGUUAAUGCUGCAUACGUCUCGCAAGAGAGAAAGAUGGCCUCUUUGCUGUCGCUGAAAGAUGAGCCUGCGUACUAUUAGCUAGUUGGUGGGGUAAAGGCCUACCAAGGGCUAUGAUGGUUUAGCCGGCCUGAGAGGGUGUACGGCCACACUGGAACUUAGUACACGGUCCAGACUCCUACGGGAGGCAGCAGUGAGGAAUAUUGCGCAAUGGGCGAAAGCCUGACGCAGCGACGCCGCGUGGAGGAUGAAGGUCUUAGGAUUGUAAACUUCUGUUAAGCGGGAAGAAAGACAUGGUUUUAAUAGAACCGUGGGAUGACGGUACCGCUAGAGAAAGCACCGGCUAACUUCGUG